rnacentral:tRNA from 1 species
CUGUAGCUUAGCUGGUUAAAGCGCCUGCCUAGUAAACAGGAGAUCUUGGGUUCAAAUUUCAGCAG